rnacentral:ncRNA from 1 species
AAGAAGUUUUAUUCUUGCUUUUUCGUUCAGUUUUUGUUUGUUUUAUAUGUAAGUUUUUGCGUGAGUUGUGUGGUAAUUCUAGAUGGGUUAUUGAUUUUAUUUUAUUCUCAUUAAUUGUUAUUGGUUGGUCAAGUAUUCUUGUAUUUAGCAAUAUAUCUUGGUUUCGGUUAAAUUUUGUGCCAGCAGCCGCGGUUAUACCUUGGAAGCGUCUGAAUGUGUUCGGCAUUAUGAUAGUUGUAUUGUUUGGUUAGUGGAUUUUUCUUUAAUGAUUUGUGGGUGGAAUUUUUAUCUUUAUUUUUAAUCAUUUUUCUGUUUGGAGGCUAUGAAAUUCUUUUUAUAAACUAGGAUUAGAUACCCUAUUAUUUUUGAAUGUUAAUUUUUAUAUGUCUGAGUAGUAUUAGUUAUGUUCUUGAAACUUAAAGAAUUUGGCGGUAUCUCAUUCUGUCCAGAGGAAUCUGUCUCGUUAUCGAUAGUCCGCGUUGGACCUUACUUAGUUGUGUUGGUUUGUAUACCGCCGUUUAUUUGAUUAUCUUUUUAGGGUUAAGUGAAUUUUCUGGUUUCUUUAUUUUGAUUUAUUUCAGGUCAAGGUGCAGCUUGUUUCUAAGUGGAAUGAUGGAUUACAUUGUUAUUUGUUUAUUGGAUUGUUGAUUUUAAUAUUGGCAUGAAAUUGGAUUUGGUUGUAAUUAUUUGUAGAUUGUUAUGGUGAUAAUUGGUUCUGGGAUAUGUACACAUCGCCCGUCACUCUCGUUUAAAUGUUGUUGAUGAGAUAAGUCGUAACAAAGUGGUUGUACCGGAAGGUGUGGCUGGAUUGAU